rnacentral:ribozyme from 13 species
AAAAGAAACAAGUUUGGAAGAAAAAGAAAAAAGAAAGAAGAAAAAGAAAGAGAAGAUUUUCAGGGGUCUUCUCUCUUCUUUUUUGUUUGUUGGUGUUGAUUGUUUGAUUUUUCAAACGUUCAAACUUUGAAAAAGAGCAAAUGACGAGUGAGGUUGAGGUUAUAGAUCUAGAACAUACACCAAAAGAUGUGGCGAUAGAUU